AACGAACGCUGGCGGCAGGCCUAACAUAUGCAAGUCGAGCGCCCCGCAAGGGGAGCGGCGGACGGGUGAGUAACGCGUGGGAACGUACCCUUUGCUACGGAAUAGCCUCGGGAAACUGGGAGUAAUACCGUAUGUGCCCUUCGGGGGAAAGAUUUAUCGGCAAAGGAUCGGCCCGCGUUGGAUUAGGUAGUUGGUGGGGUAAUGGCCUACCAAGCCGACGAUCCAUAGCUGGUUUGAGAGGAUGAUCAGCCACACUGGGACUGAGACACGGCCCAGACUCCUACGGGAGGCAGCAGUGGGGAAUCUUAGACAAUGGGCGCAAGCCUGAUCUAGCCAUGCCGCGUGAGCGAUGAAGGCCUUAGGGUUGUAAAGCUCUUUCAGUGGGGAAGAUAAUGACUGUACCCACAGAAGAAGCCCGGCUAACUCCGUG
rnacentral:rRNA from 1 species